rnacentral:lncRNA from 1 species
AUGUACUUUCGACUCUACUUGGUGGUACACUUUUGAAGCCCUAUCAGGUUAAGAGUUAAAAUAUUUUAUUUUCUCAUCCAGUUUAUAAGGUUUCUUUCUUUCUUUCUUUUCUUUUCUUCUUUUUUUUUUUUUUUUCUUUUUGGACAAAAGCUAAUGAGGAUACUUACACUUUUAGCAUUUUUUAGUUAAAUUACAUGGGCAAAUGAUUUUUUUUUAAAUUUCCUCUUUGAUGAGUAUUUGAUAAGUUAGUUAAGGCAUUUUCUUGCAUAAAGCUGUUGUAGCCACACAUUCUGGGAAACAAACUCACUCAGAAGGGCAAUGCAGAUAGUGCAGUCCAGUUAAUUACACCGGUAGGCCCAAGACAGAGUCUUCUCUUAGCCAGGGAUCCUGAUCAGUUUUUGUGAAAACCUUAUAUACCCUAAGUGUACAUGCUCAAACCCACCUCCCAAAACUCUCAAAAACUAGUCUGAACAAAGGAAAAGAAAGAUAACAAUCAAAGCAUGAUCCCUAUGCCUCAAACCUGUGUUUCAUAUGCCUUAGCCUAGGUAGUUAACAGUGGACAACUAUCAAUAGGCCUGUGGUCAUACCUCAAUAAGCAUAAUAGAAUUUAUGAUUCUAUUCAGUUACACAGAUAAUUAAGGUAUUCUUUUAGGCAUUGGAGAGUCUAGGUAUGAGCCCUGGGGCUCUUCCCUCCUGGGGGUCUGGUUUUCCAGCUGGUAUGUCGUUUCCAUAGAUACUGGGCGUAUAGUUCCAAGUCCACAGUCUGGCCCAAGAUGGAGUCCUGCUUUCAAGAUGGAGCCUGUUCUGUUUGUUUCCUCCUUCAAAGUAAACAAAGAUUUGCCUAAAACAAAAAUUAUGUGUUAGAGGGCCAGUCUCCAAGAAAAUAUGCUUUGCUAUUCCUUUGAAGCUCAAUUCAAUAUCUUUGUCUAAGGGAGAAAAAGCACAUCUUGACUGUGGAAAUCAUAUUGAAACACUGAAGUGCUUACUCGUGCUGCUGCUGUCAGUCAUACUCGUCACACUUAGUGACUGUCCUCAAUCCAAGCGGAAAACCCAUUCUCAGUUAACGUGGAUCAGUUGGAAAGAAAAUAAACCACUCUGCUGCUCUGAAGACAUGAAGACAUGUUCACUCUCACACAGGUUAUCUGGAUGCUCAGUGGGAAUGGAGGGCAGCCCAAGAAGGUUCUGAGACCCAUGGAAGUUUGAUUAUAACACCAUAUUGUCAAUGUUCUGUAUUUUGUAUGAAAACAA